rnacentral:piRNA from 1 species
CACAAGAGAAAGCUGAGAACGUG